rnacentral:rRNA from 1 species
AACGAACGCUGGCGGCAGGCUUAACACAUGCAAGUCGAACGCAUCCUUCGGGGUGAGUGGCAGACGGGUGAGUAACGCGUGGGAAUCUACCCAUCUCUGCGGAAUAGCUCCGGGAAACUGGAAUUAAUACCGCAUACGCCCUACGGGGGAAAGAUUUAUCGGGGAUGGAUGAGCCCGCGUUGGAUUAGCUAGUUGGUGGGGUAAAGGCCUACCAAGGCGACGAUCCAUAGCUGGUCUGGGAGGAUGAUCAGCCACAUUGGGACUGAGACACGGCCCAAACUCCUACGGGAGGCAGCAGUGGGGAAUAUUGGACAAUGGGCGCAAGCCUGAUCCAGCCAUGCCGCGUGAGUGAUGAAGGCCUUAGGGUUGUAAAGCUCUUUCACCGAUGAAGAUAAUGACGGUAGUCGGAGAAGAAGCCCCGGCUAACUUCGUGCCAGCCGCCGCCGUAAGAC